CUUACCAAGGCGAUGAUGCAUAGCCCGAGUUGAGAGACUGAUCGGGCCACAUCGGGGACUGAGACACGGGCCCAAAACUCCUACGGGGAGGCAGCAGUAGGGAAUCUUCCACAAUGGACGAAAGUCUGAUGGAGCAACGCCGCGUGAGUGAAGAAGGUUUUCGGAUCGUAAAAGCUCUGUUGUUGGUGAAGAAGGAUAGAGGUAGUAACUGGCCUUUAUUUGACGGUAAUCAACCAGAAGUCACGGCUAACUACGUGCCAGCAGCCGCGGUAAU
rnacentral:rRNA from 1 species